rnacentral:miRNA from 1 species
UAUUAGGUUGGUGCAAAAUUAAUUGCGAUUUUUGCCAUUACUUUCAACGCAAAAUCUGCAAUUAAUUUUGCACCAAUCUUAAUAUU